rnacentral:lncRNA from 1 species
GGUAUUUAGUUUCAAAAAAGUAUCCGAUGACCCCGCCCAAUAAUUAAGAUGGUCGCAAUGUCUAAAAGAAGAGCAUCGCAUAAAAUGUAGAUUUUGGCUUAUAUAUCUGAAACAAAACCAUAGAGACAAUCUAACAAGGGAUAAGAACAUUUCGCCUCAUAAAAUAAUGUGGACCAGUCAGAACUUUUCAUGUGGGACAAUAUGAGCUCUUAAUUUAAAAAAAAGUGGGACAAUCGGGA